CUGGUUUCCCCAAAGUUGCGUGAAGGCCAGGAACUGAAUGCCUUUAUGAUUCACAAGGUAUUCAAAUCAAAGGCGGUGUACAUUAGGCCAUCAAGCAAUCUUCCAUUUCCGUUUGACAGCACAGAUUCAGAGGACAGUUGUGUGGAGGCUGACACUACAUCAGCUUCUAGUGACCACAGAACUACCACUGCCAGUGGGGACCAGUAACUGUAUGACUACAAGGGCCAGGGGAAACCAAAUUGCAUCAACACAGCAGAUUUCUAGUUAUCCUUGCACAAGAAGGGCCAGAGCUAACCAGCCCUCUGCAACGCAGCAAGCGACCAGUGAUACCAUGGCCAGAGCUAACCGGCCCUCUGCAACGCAGCAAGCGACCAGUGAUUCCAUGGCCAGAGCUAACCGGCCCUCUGCAACGCAGCAAGCGACCAGUGAUUCCAUGGCCAGAGCUAACCGGCCCUCUGCAACGCAGCAAGCGACCAGUGAUUCCAUGGCCAGAGCUAACCAGCCCUCUGCAACGCAGCAAGCGACCAGUGUCAUUGACUUAGAUAGUGUUGCCACAGUGAACCAGACUCCAUCAGCUAGCAAUGACGACUAUGCUGCCUACCUUUCGAUCAUGGGUUCCAUCUCCGACCUUUCUUCUGAUGAUGACGACGAAUUAAACCAGGCUAUAAUGGCCAGUCUUGAGAGUCAUGCGGAAUCUCAACACCAAAACACUAAAUCUGCACAGGAGGUGCUCCUCAAUCUUGCAUCCCAAAUUGACAGUAACCAAAGAUGCAGAUUCAACAUUAAUAGAUCUUCAGUAUUGGAUGGUGCUGUGCGGGGCUUCAGACGAAUGUCCUAUAAUCCCAGGUACCAGAUGUGUAUCAAGUUUUCAGAUGACUUGGGAAUGGAUGAAGAGGCUGUGGACCUUGGUGGCCCUUGGAGAGAAUUUUUACGGUUGCUCAUGGAAGCUCUGGCACUGUCACCAAUGUUUGAAGGAAGAGACGGCAAGUUGAACUUGGCUUUGGACAGUUCAGGCAUAUGCCAUAUUUUUGGUUCCAGUGUAUUGACUUUUUUUACAAUAUCCCUUUUCCCAGUCCUAGUUUUGUCCUAGGUUUUGUGCCGUCCAUUAUAUCUUGUGUUUUGUCUUCCAUCCCAUGUUUGCUUCAGCUUUAAGAGAAGAUCGAUAUUUUAUCGCUGGCCGGGCCAUUGCUGCAAGUCUUGUCCAUGGGGGUCCUCCACCAGGAUUCAUUGCACCAACACUGUAUUCUCGUCUAGUUGGUGCCAAUUCCUCAAAGCCUGUCUUGGAAGACAUUGCUGAUACAGAACUCUAUGAGAAGGUUAAAAAGGUGUCGGAAUGUACAUCUUUGGAUGACCUAAUUGACGCCACUGAACCACUGCAAGAUUACCUGGCAAAUGCUGGGUGUCUCAGGCCAUUGAAAUGCAUUGACGACAAAGAUCUUCUGGUUCAAGAUAUUCUGAUGUUUCAGGUGGUCCACAGGUGGUCUU